rnacentral:rRNA from 1 species
GACGAACGCUGGCGGCGUGCUUAACACAUGCAAGUCGAACGGUGAAGCGCCUUCCUUUUUGGUGGGUGUGGAUGAGUGGCGAACGGGUGAGUAACACGUGAGUAACCUGCCCCCUUCUUCUGGAUAACCGCAUGAAAGUGUGGCUAAUACGGGAUAUUCUGGGUCUGUCGCAUGAUGGGUCUGGGAUAGAUAUUGUUUCGGUGGGGGAUGUGCUCGCGUCCUAUAAGCUUGUUGGUGGGGUGAUGGCCUACCAAGGCGGGGACGGGUAGCCGGCCUGGGAGGGUGGACGGUAGAGCGGGGACUGCGACACGGGCCAGACUCCUACGGGAGGAAGCAGUGGGGAAUAUGGAACAAUGGGCGCAAGACUGAUGCAGCGACGCCGCGUGAGGGAUGGAGGCCGUCGGGUUGUGAACCUCUUUCGCCAGUGAAGCAGGCCUGCCUCGUUUGUGGGUGGGUUGACGGUAGCUGGAUAAGAAGCGCCGGCUAACUACGUG